CCUACGGGAGGCAGCAGUGAGGAAUAUUGGUCAAUGGCCGUAAGGCUGAACCAGCCAAGUAGCGUGAGGGAAGAAUGCCCUAUGGGUUGUAAACCUCUUUUAUGCGGGGAUAAAGGUGUCCACGUGUGGAUGUUUGCAGGUACCGCAUGAAUAAGGACCGGCUAAUUCCGUGCCAGCAGCCGGGGUAAUACGGAAGGUCCGGGCGGUAUCCGGAUGUAUUGGGGUUAAAGGGAGCGUAGGCCGGUCUUUAAGCGUGCCGUGAGAUUUUGUGGCUCAACCAUGGGAGGGCGGCGCGAACUGGAGACCUUGAGUGCGCGGAAGGCAGGCGGAAUUCGUGGUGUAGCGGUGAAAUGCUUAGAUAUCACGAAGAACCCCGAUUGCGAAGGCAGCCUGCCGCAGCGUUACUGACGCUGAAGCUCGAAAGCGCGGGUAUCGAACAGGAUUAGAUACCCCAGUAGUC
rnacentral:rRNA from 1 species